rnacentral:rRNA from 1 species
GACGAACGCUGGCGGCGUGCUUUACACAUGCAAGUCGAACGGAAAGGCCCUGCUUUUGUGGGGUGCUCGAGUGGCGAACGGGUGAGUAACAAGUGAGUAACCUGCCCGUGACUUUGGGAUAACUUCAGGAAACUGGGGCUAAUACCGGAUAGGAGCUCCUGCUGCAUGGUGGGGGCUGGAAAGUUUCGGCGGUUGGGGAUGGACUCGCGGCUUAUCAGCUUGUUGGUGGGGUAGUGGCUUACCAAGGCUUUGACGGGUAGCCGGCCUGAGUGGGUGACCGGCCACAUUGGGACUGAGAUACGGCCCAGACUCCUACGGGAGGCAGCAGUGGGGAAUGUUGCACAAUGGGCGGACGCCUGAUGCAGGAACGCCGCGUGCGGGAUGACGGCCUUCGGGUUGUAAACCGCUUUCGCCUGUGACGAAGCGUGAGUGACGGUAAUGGGUAAAGAAGCACCGGCUAACUACGUG